GUAGGUGGCAAGCGUUGUCCGGAAUUAUUGGGCGUAAAGAGCGCGCAGGCGGUUCUUUAAGUCUGAUGUGAAAGCCCACGGCUCAACCGUGGAGGGUCAUUGGAAACUGGAGAACUUGAGUACAGAAGAGGAAAGCGGAAUUCCACGUGUAGCGGUGAAAUGCGUAGAGAUGUGGAGGAACACCAGUGGCGAAGGCGGCUUUCUGGUCUGUAACUGACGCUGAGGCGCGAAAGCGUGGGGAGCAAACAGGAUUAGAUACCCUGGUAGUCCACGCCGUAAACGAUGAGUGCUAAGUGUUAGGGGGGUUUUCCGCCCCCCUUAGUGCUGCAGCUAACGCAUUAAGCACUCCGCCUGGGAGUACGGCCGCAAGGCUG
rnacentral:rRNA from 1 species